ACAUUUCUUUAAGUAUAAUUUUUAAAGUAUUUCCUGCUCAAUGAUUUUAAUUAAAUAGCUGCAGUAAUUUGACUGUACAAAGGUAGCAUAAUAAUUAGUUUCUUAAUUAGAAGCUUGAAUGAAUGGAUUAAUGAAAUGCAAGUUUUAUUAAUUGUAAUUUUAUAAUUUAAUUUUUAAGUUAAAAAGCUUAAUUGUUUAUUUGGGACGAGAAGACCCUAUAGAACUUUAUUAUAUAUCAAUUUAUUAUUGUUAAAUUAAUUUUUGAUUUUGAUUUUUGUUGGGGUGACAAAUAAAUUUUAACUUUAUUUAAAAAUUUCAUUAAUUUAUGAUAAUUGAUCCAUAUUUGUGAUUAAAAGUUAAAGUUACCUUAGGGAUAACAGCGUAAUUUUAAUGGAAAGUUCUAAUUAAUAUUAAAGUUUGCGACCUCGAUGUUGAAUUAAGGUUAAUAUAAGGGGUAGUUUCUUUAAUAUUUAAGUCUGUUCGACUUUUAAAUCCUUACUUGAUCUG
rnacentral:rRNA from 1 species